rnacentral:rRNA from 1 species
UGAGGAAUAUUGCGCAAUGGGCGAAAGCCUGACGCAGCGACGCCGCGUGUAGGACGAAGGUCUUCGGAUCGUAAACUCCUGUCGAGCGGGACGAAGCCGGGGCGGUGAAUAGCCGCUUCGGUUGACGGUACCGCUAAAGGAAGCCCCGGCUAACUCCGUGCCAGCAGCCGCGGUAAUACGGAGGGGGCCAGCGUUGUUCGGAAUCAUUGGGCGUAAAGGGCGCGUAGGCGGCUCUGUAAGUCCGUUGUGAAAUCCCUCGGCCCAACCGAGGAACUGCGACGGAUACUGCUUGGCUUGAGUCCCGGAGAGGGUAGCGGAAUUCCCAGUGUAGCGGUGAAAUGCGUAGAUAUUGGGAGGAACAUCGGUGGCGAAGGCGGCUACCUGGACGGGUACUGACGCUGAUGCGCGAAAGCUAGGGGAGCAAACAG